rnacentral:rRNA from 1 species
GAUGAACGCUGGCGGCGUGCCUAAUACAUGCAAGUCGAGCGAACAGACGAGGAGCUUACUCCUCUGACGUUAGCGGCGGACGGGUGAGUAACACGUGGAUAACCUACCUAUAAGACUUGGAUAACUUCGGGAAACCGGAGCUAAUACCGGAUAACAUGUUGAACCGCAUGGUUCAACAGUGAAAGACGGUCUUGCUGUCACUUAUAGAUGGAUCCGCGUCGCAUUAGCUAGUUGGUAAGGUAACGGCUUACCAAGGCAACGAUGCGUAGCCGACCUGAGAGGGUGAUCGGCCACACUGGAACGGAGACACGGUCCAGACUCCUACGGGAGGCAGCAGUAGGGAAUCUUCCGCAAUGGGCGAAAGCCUGACGGAGCAACGCCGCGUGAGUGAAGAAGGUCUUCGGAUCGUAAAAAUCUGUUAUUAGGGAAGAACAAAUGUGUAAGUAACUAUGCACGUCUUGACGGUACCUAAUCAGAAAGCCACGGCUAACUACGUG